rnacentral:rRNA from 1 species
GAUGAACGCUGGCGGCGUGCCUAAUACAUGCCAGUCGAGCGAACAGACGAGGAGCUUGCUCCUCUGACGUUAGCGGCGGAUGGGUGAGUAACACGUGGAUAACCUACCUAUAAGAAUGGGAUAACUUCGGGAAACCGGAGCUAAUACCGGAUAACAUGUUGAACCGCAUGGUUACACAGUGAAAGACGGUCUUGCUGUCACUUAUAGAUGGAUCCGCGCCGCAUUAGCUAGUUGGUAAGGUAACGGCAUUACCAGGCAACCAUGCGUAGCGGACAUGAACGGGAGAUCCGCCACACGGGAACAGAGACACGGUCCAGACUCCUACGGGAGGCAGCAGUAGGGAAUCUUCCGCAAGGGGCGAAAGCCUGACGGAGCAACGCCGCGUGAGUGAAGAAGGUCUUCGGAUCGUAAAACUCUGUUAUUAGGGAAGAACAAAUGUGUAAGUAACUAUGAACGUCUUGACGGUACCUAAUCAGAAAGCCACGGCUAACUACGUG